UACGUAGGGGGCUAGCGUUGUCCGGAAUCAUUGGGCGUAAAGAGCGUGUAGGCGGUCCGGUAAGUCCGCUGUGAAAGUCGGGGGCUCAACCCUCGAAUGCCGGUGGAUACUGUCGGGCUAGAGUGCGGAAGAGGCGAGUGGAAUUCCUGGUGUAGCGGUGGAAUGCGCAGAUAUCAGGAGGAACACCAACGGCGAAGGCAGCUCGCUGGGACGGUACUGACGCUGGAGGCGACGAAAGCGUGGGGAGCAAACAGG
rnacentral:rRNA from 1 species